rnacentral:rRNA from 1 species
UACGUAGGGGGCAAGCGUUGUCCGGAAUCAUUGGGCGUAAAGCGCGUGUAGGCGGCUUGGUAAGUCUGCUCUGAAAGCCCGGGGCUCAACCCCGGGAGGCGGGUGGAUACUGCUGAGCUCGAGUCCGGAAGAGGCGAGUGGAAUUCCUGGUGUAGCGGUGAAAUGCGCAGAUAUCAUUUGGAACGCCAAUGGUGAAAACAGCUCGCUGGGAAUGAUCUGACGCUGAGACGCGAAAGCCAGGGGAGCGAACGGG